rnacentral:lncRNA from 1 species
AUGGAGAUACAAAGUCGGCUGCUUGAGCAAUUAAAAUUUGACGUGAACCAGCGAGACCAUGUGUUCCUGAACCAUCGCUCAUCCCAGGCGCACCCCCGCUGCAGAGGCAGGUGCGGGUUCCUAUCUCCUUGCAUCUGUUCUGGACUGCUUUGGGAGGCCGCGGUGAGUCACUGGUUGCAAGACGUGGCGUGUGAACUGUGGAUGAGGAGAGGCCACCUUGAAAGAGCAGGUGACAGGAGGCUCCUGGCUGGAAGCCCAGGUCGCAUCACCUGAUAUCUGAUGAUCUGAUUAUUCGGGGUCACUGACAUCCAGCGGUUGCAUCAGAUUCAGAAGGCUGAGGGCCUGUGCUGUGGGGCCCUGCAGUGUAGACAUGGGGGGGAGGGAACGAACCUAAGCCAGCGCAGCAUUUCAGCAAUCCGUCAAGUCUCCGUCCACCGGCUUUUCUCAGGAGGUGUUUUGCCAGGAUUAACAAAUAAGCCAGGCCUGUGUUGCCAUAGCUGAUCUUGCCAGAGACUUCUUUGUAGAGAGGGAACCACCUGUUUUCUUUUCUUUCUUUCUUUCUUUCUUUCUUUCUUUCUUUCUUUCUUUCUUUCUUUCUUUCUUUCUUUCUUUUCUUUCUUCCUCCCUUUCUCCCUUUCUCCCUUUCUCUCUUUCUCUCUUUCUCUCUUUCUCUCUUUCUCUCUUUCUCUUUCUUUGAGCUAUGAUCUCAUUGCAUAGCCCAGGCUGGCCUCAGACUCAUGGAGAUCUCCCUGCCUCAGCCUCCUGAUUGCUAGAAUUACAGGUGUGCACCACCAUGCCCUCCUUUACACCCAAGCUUUCUAGGGGUAAGCCUAGGAGCCUUUCUAGGGGAAAGCCUUCUGAGCAAGAGCCUAGGGACCUGGACCCAGAGCAGCUGCGCCACUUGAAGGUCCGACAGAAGAAGGUGUCAUCACGUCCACUGAGGCGUCCCCUAAGACACUGAUGCUUCUGCAACUCACUCGGCUCUGCCCCUCUGAUGGGGUCAAGCUCAGCUCCUCCCCCUGUAAGAUAGCUGCUCCCCAGUGAGACCCAUCUUUGCACCCAUUGGCCUGUGAACUAGGCAGGUGCACCUUCAAUCUUUAGAAAGGCCCUGAAGAUGGGCUGGGGAUAUAGCUCAGCGGUAUAAGCGUCUGCCUGUCGAGCGCAAGGUCGUGAGUUCAAUCCCCAGUACCCCCCCCCGCAAAAAAGCUAGUCAUCUAGGUAGUCAAGAAAAAAAUUGAAAGAAAAAACCCUGAAGGGCUUGGUUACCCUAUCAAACAAAUGGGCUGCGCGAACCCCACAGACUCCAGUGUGUCAGCAGAGGGACAGAUUUUGGGACCGGCCUGCUUGGAGAGCCGAGUCCAGCCCGACCUCUUGCUGCUCGGGAAACCGAAGCUGGCCACAGCAAUCACACCACAGGCCUCAGCUGAGGGUCAGCUGCGUCAGUGCCCUCGGAGAGGCCAGAAAGAUGUGGAAAGCACAGCAAAAGCACAGUGAGCGCUGCUGAUUACUGUAACUCACACCGCCAACGGCAAGCCAACGGGGAAAGCAGGCUUGGGAGCCAUGGACCCAGCACAAAUAAGAUACAGUACCAGGUUUCUGCAGCUCCUUGGCUGUGCUGUCUGUCGCCUCUGAGAAUGAAGUUUGGCAUGAGCCUUGACCUAGCUGGGUUGCCAGUGAACUAUUAUUAUUUUUUUGUUGAUGUAAAAAUAGCAUAACAUACAAUUAAACAUUUUCCCCCUGCAGUCGUGAGGAGUGAACCCAGGGCCUUUGCACAGAGUUGCAUCGCCAGCCUUUUUAUGUUUCAUUUUGAGACAGAGCCUGCAGCCUUU